ACCAAUUAUAUGUAAAAAUAUAACUACUUGCUCCCUAAUAUCGACAGAUUUAGACGAUUGUAACAAAUUAUUCGUACUAAGAAUAUCACAUAAAUUAAAAAAGGCGAUUGGUCUCAUCCUUAUUAUAUCAAUGCAAUGCUGGUCACCACUAUAUAAAAUACUAUUAAUAUAGUUUUCUCUUUCAUAAUCUCGAUUCACACGAGGGCGAGAAGCAAUUUCCUUCCAAGUUUCUAAUUUUUUAAUCCAAAGAGCCCCAAAAGCUAAAACUGAAGCCACG
rnacentral:lncRNA from 1 species